rnacentral:rRNA from 1 species
AGAGUUUGAUCCUGGCUCAGAUUGAACGCUGGCGGCAGGCCUAACACAUGCAAGUCGAGCGGUAGAGAGAAGCUUGCUUCUCUUGAGAGCGGCGGACGGGUGAGUAAUGCCUAGGAAUCUGCCUGGUAGUGGGGGAUAACGUUCGGAAACGGACGCUAAUACCGCAUACGUCCCACGGGAGAAAGCAGGGGACCUUCGGGCCUUGCGCUAUCAGAUGAGCCUAGGUCGGAUUAGCUAGUUGGUGGGGUAAUGGCUCACCAAGGCGACGAUCCGUAACUGGUCUGAGAGGAUGAUCAGUCACACUGGAACUGAGACACGGUCCAGACUCCUACGGGAGGCAGCAGUGGGGAAUAUUGGACAAUGGGCAAAAGCCUGAUCCAGCCAUGCCGCGUGUGUGAAGAAGGUCUUCGGACUGUAAAGCACUUUAAGUUGGGAGGAAGGGUUGUAGAUUAAUACUCUGCAAUUUUGACGUUACCGACAGAAUAAGCACCGGCUAACUCUGUGCCAGCAGCCGCGGUAAUACAGAGGGUGCAAGCGUUAAUCGGAAUUACUGGGCGUAAAGCGCGCGUAGGUGGUUUGUUAAGUUGGAUGUGAAAUCCCCGGGCUCAACCUGGGAACUGCAUUCAAAACUGACUGACUAGAGUAUGGUAGAGGGUGGUGGAAUUUCCUGUGUAGCGGUGAAAUGCGUAGAUAUAGGAAGGAACACCAGUGGCGAAGGCGACCACCUGGACUAAUACUGACACUGAGGUGCGAAAGCGUGGGGAGCAAACAGGAUUAGAUACCCUGGUAGUCC